rnacentral:rRNA from 1 species
GACGAACGCUGGCGGCGUGCCUAAUACAUGCAAGUAGAACGCUGAAGGAGGAGCUUGCUUCUCUGGAUGAGUUGCGAACGGGUGAGUAACGCGUAGGUAACCUGCCUGGUAGCGGGGGAUAACUAUUGGAAACGAUAGCUAAUACCGCAUAAGAGUAGAUGUCGCAUGACAUUUGCUUAAAAGGUGCAAUUGCAUCACUACCAGAUGGCCCUGCGUUGUAUUAGCAAGUUGGUGAGGUAACGGCUCACCAAGGCAACGAUACAUAGCCGACCUGAGAGGGGAAUCGGCCACACUGGGACUGAGACACGCCCCAGACUCCUACGGGAGACAGCAGUAGGGAAUCUUCGGCAAUAGACGGAAGUCUGACCGAGCAACGCCGCGUGAGUGAAGAAGGUUUUCGGAUCGUAAAGCUCUGUUGUAAGAGAAGAACGAGUGUGAGAGUGGAAAGUUCACACUGUGACGGUAUCUUACCAGAAAGGGACGGCUAACUACGUG